GGUCCAGACUUUGAUUAUGGCUCAGGAUGAACGCUAGCUACAGGCCUAACACAUGCAAGUCGAGGGGAAACGGCAGCUUAGCUUGCUAAGCUGGACGUCGACCGGCGCACGGGUGAGUAACGCGUAUCCAACCUGCCCCACGGUGAGGGAUAACCCGCGGAAACGCGGCCUAAUACCUCAUGGUCUCCGAGUUUGCCAUCAACCUUGGAGUAAAGAUUCAUUGCCGUGGGAUGGGGAUGCGUCUGAUUAGCUUGUUGGCGGGGCAACGGCCCACCAAGGCAACGGUCAGUAGGGGUUCUGAGAGGAAAGCCCCCCACAUUGGAACUGAGACACGGUCCAAACUCCUACGGGAGGCAGCAGUGAGGAAUAUUGGUCAAUGGGCGAGAGCCUGAACCAGCCAAGUAGCGUGCAGGAUGACGGCCCUAUGGGUUGUAAACUGCUUUUAUGCGGGGAUAAAGCGGGCGACGUGUCGCCCUUUGCAGGUACCGCAUGAAUAAGGACCGGCUAAUUCCGUGCCAGCAGCCGCGGUAAUACGGAAGGUCCGGGCGUUAUCCGGAUUUAUUGGGUUUAAAGGGAGCGCAGGCCGGGUAUUAAGCGUGUUGUGAAAUGUAGGCGCCCAACGUCUGCACCGCAGCGCGAACUGGUGCCCUUGAGUACGCACGACGUUGGCGGAAUUCGCCGUGUAGCGGUGAAAUGCUUAGAUAUGGCGAAGAACUCCGAUUGCGAAGGCAGCUGACGGGAGCGCUACUGACGCUCAUGCUCGAAAGCGCGGGUAUCGAACAGGAUUAGAUACCCUGGUAGUCCGCGCGGUAAACGAUGGAUGCCCGCUAUUUGCGCAUUAGCGCAAGUGGCCAAGUGAAAACGUUAAGCAUCCCACCUGGGGAGUACGCCGGCAACGGUGCAACUCAAAGGAAUUGACGG
rnacentral:rRNA from 1 species